GCCAGCGUGGUGUAGUGGUUUGAGCAUAGGACCAGGGCUCCAGAGAUUAGGGUUUGAGUCCCUGCUCAGCCG